rnacentral:miRNA from 1 species
UAGAAUAAAACAGAUAACCAAUCA